CCUCUAAAACCACUCUGUGUGGGGAACAUGAGAGCCAGACCAAAGCUCAGAGGAACCCACCUGGACCUGGACCUGGAUCUGGACCUGGACCCAGCUGUGUGUCCUUAAAGAGUGACCGGUCUAAUGAUCACAUCAUUGAUUUUAAAGGUCAGCGUGCGUCUGCUGCAGAGAGAGUGGACCAGCAGAGCUCAGAGGGUCCCAGUGGUCAGUCUGCCCAGCAGCAUCAAACACAG